UCUGCAGCAACUGCAUUAAUCAAAAAGCCCACAUCCAUUCCUGAAACAUUGUCACUGCUAGUGUGUAGAAUAUUAGAAGAAUCUCCACCUGUUCCUGUUCUCCAGUUUCCAAAGUUUUUUGAGAAAAUAACUUCCAGAGAGCUCCCACUGAUUGAGUAUGGCUUCAGUACAGUUGAAGAGUUCCUAGCUUGCAUAUACCAGAGAUUAGUAUAAUUGAAGAUGAGAAAAA